rnacentral:rRNA from 1 species
AUGUCGUCCUCCUCAAGCUCCGCUCAGAUCGCCUCCAUGGGGCAGGUCGCCGAGAAGCUUACCCGCACCAACUAUGUUCUGUGGCGUGCCCAGGUGACGCCGCAGCUGAGAGGUGCUGGUUACUUCGGCUACGUCGAUGGGACGAUGCCGCAGCCCGCCCAGUUCAUCAUCACGAAGGACAAGGACGGGAAGGAGGAGAAAACACCCAACCCUCUCUAUCCGAUCUGGUUCAGAGAAGGGCAGCAGGUACUUGGAUACUUGCUCAAUAACCUCACCAAGGAAGUCCUCGUGCAGGUCACAUCUAUAGCCACGCCGCACGAGCUCUGGGAAGCCCUUGCCCACAUGUUCUCGUCGCAGUCCAGGGCGCGCGUCAACAACAUCAGAGUCGCGCUCUCCACGGCGCAGAAGGGGACGCAGUCGGUAGCCGCCUACUUCUCCCACAUGAGGUCCCUGGCGGAUGAGCUCGCAGCUGCCGGCAAGCCCAUCGAUGAUGAUGAGCUGAUCUCCUACAUCACCUCCGGCCUCGACAUGGAGUACCAACCUCUCUUCUCCGCCAACGACGCCCGCACCGAGCCCAUCAGCAUCGACGAUCUCUACGCCCAGAUGAGUAACUUCGAUCAGCGUCUC